UCCCGGGUCGUCUAACGGCAGGACAGGGCGUUUUGGUCGCUCUAAUGAGGGUUCGAUUCCUUCCCCGGGAG
rnacentral:tRNA from 1 species